AGUGAACGCUGGCGGUAGGCCUAACACAUGCAAGUCGAACGGCAGCACAGUAAGAGCUUGCUCUUACGGGUGGCGAGUGGCGGACGGGUGAGGAAUACAUCGGAAUCUACUUUUUCGUGGGGGAUAACGUAGGGAAACUUACGCUAAUACCGCAUACGACCUACGGGUGAAAGCAGGGGAUCUUCGGACCUUGCGCGAUUGAAUGAGCCGAUGUCGGAUUAGCUAGUUGGCGGGGUAAAGGCCCACCAAGGCGGCGAUCCGUAGCUGGUAUGAGAGGAUGAUCAGCCACACUGGAACUGAGACACGGUCCAGACUCCUACGGUAGGCAGCAGUGGGGAAUAUUGGACAAUGGGCGCAAGCCUGAUCCAGCCAUACCGCGUGGGUGAAGAAGGCCUUCGGGUUGUAAAGCCCUUUUGUUGUGAAAGAAAAGCAGCAGGUUAAUACCCCGCUGUUCUGACGGUACCCAAAGAAUAAGCACCGGCUAACUUCGUG
rnacentral:rRNA from 1 species